rnacentral:sRNA from 1 species
GUGAACCAAACCACCCUGAGCGUAGUCGAAGGGUAAACGUUAUUUAAGUCAUGAUACCUUGGGAUUCGCUAGUCCCAUGCUCUAUCGGUGCUGAUUAAACAUUCCGAAAGGAAAGUGUCUUUACCAUAACAAGCUUUUAUAACCUGGUUGAAGCAAACUUUACUUAGAAAUAA